AACUCUAGAUUGUCUGAGGCAAGCACUCCUGAGAUGUCAUCAGAAUCCUAUCAACCUAUCCAAAGCCAAACAUCAAGCAAAUGUUUGUCAUCGAAUAAUUCUGUGGCAUCAUUCAGUGAAUCAAAUUUUGGAUCUUCCCCAGUUAUUCACUCA